rnacentral:rRNA from 1 species
UACGUAGGUGGCAAGCGUUUGUCCGGAUUUAUUGGGUUUAAAGGGUGCGUAGGCGGCCCUGUAAGUCAGUGGUGAAAUACUCUAGCUUAACUAGAGGGGUGCCAAUGAUACUGCAGGGCUUGAGUACAGAUGAGGUAGGCGGAAUUGACGGUGUAGCGGUGAAAUGCAUAGAUAUCGUCAAGAACACCUAUAGCGAAGGCAGCUUACUGGGCUGUAACUGACGCUGAGGCACGAAAGUGUGGGGAGUCAAAACAGG